UGGGGAAUAUUGCACAAUGGGGGAAACCCUGAUGCAGCAACGCCGCGUGAGUGAAGAAGUCAUUCGUGAUGUAAAGCUCUAUCAGCAGGGAAGAAAAUGACGGUACCUGACUAAGAAGCCCCGGCUAACUACGUGCCAGCAGCCGCGGUAAUACGUAGGGGGCAAGCGUUAUCCGGAUUUACUGGGUGUAAAGGGAGCGUAGACGGCAGUGUAAGUCUGAAGUGAAAUGCCCGUGCUCAACACGGGAACUGCUUUGGAAACUGCACAGCUGGAGUGCGGGAGAGGUAAGUGGAAUUCCUAGUGUAGCGGUGAAAUGCGUAGAUAUUAGGAGGAACACCAGUGGCGAAGGCGGCUUACUGGACCGUAACUGACGUUGAGGCUCGAAAGCGUGGGGAGCAAACAGG
rnacentral:rRNA from 1 species